rnacentral:rRNA from 1 species
UACGUAGGGGGCAAGCGUUGUCCGGAAUCAUUGGGCGUAAAGAGCGUGUAGGCGGCUCGGUAAGUCCGCUCUGAAAGCCCGGGGCUCAACCCCGGGAGGCGGGCGGAUACCGUCGGGCUAGAGUCCGGAAGAGGCGAGUGGAAUUCCUGGUGUAGCGGUGAAAUGCGCAGAUAUCAGGAGGAACACCAAUGGCGAAGGCAGCUCGCUGGGACGGUACUGACGCUGAGACGCGAAAGCGUGGGGAGCGAACAGG